rnacentral:rRNA from 1 species
GACGUAGGGCGCGAGCGUUGUCCGGAAUUAUUGGGCGUAAAGAGCUCGUAGGCGGCUUGUUGCGUCGGCUGUGAAAACCCGCGGCUCAACCGUGGGCUUGCAGCCGAUACGGGCAGGCUAGAGUUCGGUAGGGGAGACUGGAAUUCCUGGUGUAGCGGUGAAAUGCGCAGAUAUCAGGAGGAACACCGGUGGCGAAGGCGGGUCACUGGCCCGGUACUGACGCUGAGGUGCGAAAGCGUGGGGAGCAAACAGG